UCGAGCGAAGCACUUUCUCGGAAGUUUUCGGAUGGAAGAGGAUUUGACUGACCGGCGGACGGGUGAGUAACGCGUGGGGAACCUGCCUCAUACAGGGGAAUAACAGAUGGAAACGUCUGCUAAUGCCGCAUAAGCGCACACUGUGGCAUCACAGAGUGUGAAAAACUCCGGUGGUAUGAGAUGGCCCCGCGUCUGAUUAGGCAGUUGGCGGGGUAACGGCCCACCAAACCGACGAUCAGUAGCCGACCUGAGAGGGUGACCGGCCACAUUGGGACUGAGACACGGCCCAAACUCCUACGGGAGGCAGCAGUGGGGAAUAUUGCACAAUGGGGGAAACCCUGAUGCAGCGACGCCGCGUGGGUGACGAAGUAUUUCGGUAUGUAAAGCCCUAUCAGCAGGGAAGAAGAUGACAGUACCUGACUAAGAAGCCCCGGCUAACUACGUGCCAGCAGCCGCGGUAAUACGUAGGGGGCAAGCGUUAUCCGGAUUUACUGGGUGUAAAGGGAGCGUAGGUGGCAUGGCAAGCCAGAAGUGAAAACCCGGGGCUUAACCCCGCGGAUUGCUUUUGGAACUGUCAGGCUGGAGUGCAGGAGGGGCAGGCGGAAUUCCUGGUGUAGCGGUGAAAUGCGUAGAUAUCAGGAGGAACACCGGUGGCGAAGGCGGCCUGCUGGACUGUAACUGACACUGAGGCUCGAAAGCGUGGGG
rnacentral:rRNA from 1 species